AGUCCUGUGGCCUAGCGGCGAAGGCAACUCUCCUACAAAGAGUGGAUCGGGGGUUCGAAUCCCUCCAGGACUA
rnacentral:tRNA from 2 species